rnacentral:rRNA from 1 species
GAUGAACGCUGGCGGCGUGCCUAACACAUGCAAGUCGAACGGUCUCGGAAGUCGGAAGUAACAUUCUGACUUCUGAGAUAGUGGCGGACGGGUGAGUAACGCGUGGGCAACCUGCCUUUCACUGGGGGAUAACACAGGGAAACUUGUGCUAAUACCGCAUAACAUAUUGAUAGGGCAUCCUAUUGAUAUCAAAGGAGCAAUCCGGUGGAAGAUGGGCCCGCGUCCAAUUAGCUUGUUGGUGGUGUAACGGACCACCAAGGCGACGAUUGGUAGCCGAACUGAGAGGUUGAUCGGCCACAUUGGGACUGAGACACGGCCCAGACUCCUACGGGAGGCAGCAGUGGGGAAUAUUGCGCAAUGGGGGGAACCCUGACGCAGCAACGCCGCGUGAAGGAGGAAGGUUUUCGGAUUGUAAACUUCUUUGAUGAGGGACGAAGGCAGUGACGGUACCUCAAAAACAGCCACGGCUAACUACGUGCCAGCAGCCGCGGUAAUAGUGUGU